rnacentral:rRNA from 1 species
AGCGAACGCUGGCGGCAGGCCUAACACAUGCAAGUCGAACGAACCUUUCGGGGUUAGUGGCGGACGGGUGAGUAACACGUGGGAACGUGCCUUUAGGUUCGGAAUAACUCAGGGAAACUUGUGCUAAUACCGAAUGUGCCCUUCGGGGGAAAGAUUUAUCGCCUUUAGAGCGGCCCGCGUCUGAUUAGCUAGUUGGUUGAGGUAAUGGCUCACCAAGGCGACGAUCAGUAGCUGGUCUGAGAGGAUGAUCAGCCACAUUGGGACUGAGACACGGCCCAAACUCCUACGGGAGGCCGCGGGGGGGAAUAGUGCGUAAUGGGCCAAAGUCUAACGCAGCCAUGCCGCGGGAAUGAUGAAGGUCUUAGGAUGGAAAAAUUCUUCCACCGGGGACGAUAAGGGCGGUACCGGGAGAAGAAGCCCGGGCUAACUUCUUG